rnacentral:rRNA from 1 species
UUCUGGUUGAUCCUGCCGGAGGUUACUGCUAUCGAGAUUCGACUAAGCCAUGCGAGUUGAAUGUUCUUCGCGAACAUGGCGGACUGCUCAGUAACACGUGGACAACCUGCCCUCCGGUCCGGCAUAAUCCUGGGAAACUGGGGAUAAUUCCGGAUAGGUCACAGAUGCUGGAAUGCACUGUGGCUCAAAGCUCCGGCGCCGAAGGAUGGGUCUGCGGCCUAUCAGGGUUGUAGUGGGUGUAAUGUACCUACUAGCCUACGACGGGUACGGGUUGUGAGAGCAAGAGCCCGGAGAUGGAUUCUGAGACACGAAUCCAGGCCCUACGGGGUGCAGCAGGCGCGAAAACUUUACAAUGCGGGAAACCGUGAUAAGGGAAUCUCGAGUGCCAGCAUAUAAUGUUGGCUGUCCAGAUGCCUAAAAAGCAUCUGUUAGCAAGGGCCGGGCAAGACCGGUGCCAGCCGCCGCGGUAACACCGGCGGCCCGAGUGGUAACCGCUUUUAUUGGGUCUAAAGGGUCUGUAGCCGGCCAUGUAAGUCCCUUGGGAAAUCUGGCAGCUCAACUGUCAGGCUGCUAGGGGAUACUGCUUGGCUUGGGACCGGGAGAGGUGAGAGGUACCUUGAGGGUAGGGGUGAAAUCUUGUGAUCCUCGGGGGACCACCAGUGGCGAAGGCGUCUCACCAGAACGGGUCCGACGGUAAGGGACGAAAGCUAGGGGCACGAACCGGAUUAGAUACCCGGGUAGUCCUAGCCGUAAACGAUGCUCGCUAGGUGUCAGUCACGGUGCGACCGUGAUUGGUGCCGUAGGGAAGCCGUGAAGCGAGCCACCUGGGAAGUACGGCCGCAAGGCUGAAACUUAAAGGAAUUGGCGGGGGAGCACUACAACGGGUGGAGCCUGCGGUUUAAAUGGAUUCAACGCCGGG